rnacentral:sRNA from 1 species
UUAAUUUUUUAAUUGUGAGAAACUCUUAUGAGAUACUCCCAAUGGAGAUGGUCAGUUUACCUACAAAACUUAGUUGA